UCUCCCGUCCACGAAGCCUAAAUCAAGACUCUUGUUGAGUGCUUCGUCUUCCACUUCCACUCCGUCGCCUGGAAUCUAGGUUUUCAGGGCGCCACUGUUCGCAUCGAAAUCGAAGAGGAGAGAAAUGGCCGACGAUGCAACCAGAACGACUUUUCUCGAGAUUCAAGGUCGUAUGAUUGAGACUACCGGGAAACUGAAGCAGAUGGUCGUGGGGUUGGUUGAUCGUUUGUUUAUUGGCAUCGUGCAACUUAGGGAAAUAAGAAAGAGUGUGAUUUUACUGGUAAAAUUGACAAUUUUGAUUUGUACGAGGGUUGAGGUACUGAAGAUUGCCGCAAAGACUGCUGGACUGUAGGGUCCAGAACCAGAUGAGAAAUAAAGAAACAGAAAAGAAGCGUGCUUAUCUAACUUUGGAGGAGCUACGACAGUUGUCCGAUGAUACAAAUACCUACAAGGCUAUAGGGAGAACGUGAGUUCUACACAACAUAUAUACGAUCUAAAGAUUUGUCGUUAAACCUAAUUUUAUGAUUUGCUGGGAUUGGAUGCAAUAUGUUUUGAAGGAUUUAUCUCUUGUUUUUCACCUUCACCUAACUUGUCCUUAUUUCCUUGUUUUUCUCCCCUUCAAUUGUUGGUCAGGUUUUUGUUAGAGCCCAAAUCAAUUUUAAUGGAGGAACAGGAACAAAAGCUCAAAGAUAGUGAAACUGCAAUUGCUUCUCUGCAGAGUUCAAAAGAGUACUUAGAGAAGCAGAUUGCAGAAGUGGAGAACAACCUGACGGAGUUGUUGAAGCAAGAUCCAGGCCUUGCUCGUCAGAUAAUGUCAAUGUCUGUAAUGUGAACUAAUCCCCCGAAGAAUCUGUAUUUCAUCCCUCUAUAUAUAAGCGAAAACAAGGAAACUUUUACCCAUUGAGUGGUCUUUGGUUUGCUCUUUGCAGCCAUGAAUUUGAAGCUUCAUUAGCAUGUUGCUACAAGCUCAUACCUCUUCAAAAGUAGUUAUUGUUAGGUCUUAUUUGCUUGAAGAUCUUAUUUACUCAUUGACAUGAGAUGUGAUGUUCUUUUCAAAAUUGAGAGCCAAUUUAUCUAUUCUUAGAAGUUAUGAACUAA